ensembl:lncRNA
AGUGGCAGUGAUGGAUUAUCUGGGAAGGUGAAGCAGCUGAGCUGAUCUGCCCCCUCCCCUUCCACCCACACAUCCACCCCUCAGGCUACAGGGUUUCAGGGUAGCUUUAAUCCCUCUUAGCCUCCCCUCUCCCACGGAUCCCAAGACAAGCCCCCGGAGUUGCUGGGCCUGGAGAGCAUCCUCCCAAGCUGUUUCCUGAAAUCCAAGCCUGAAAAACAGGAGUUGGCCUUCAGGUGCUUGCCAGAAGCCCCCAUUCAUUACCCUGCUGGGAAGGACUGUUUGAGGAGUGCGGAGCUGAGAAGGAUUCUCUGAAUCUGGCCUCAGAGGGAGUGUUGAUGGUUCAAGAGUGGCUUGUUCAAGUGCAAAGUCUGGGCUUCAGUUUCUUCAUCUAUAAUACAGAGAAGAUUGACUCAGAGGCCUUCAAACUGUGCUCCACAGAGGACUCUAGACUUCCUGGAAGAGCUCCAUGGUCUACUUUGAAGAACAAAGGCCACACACCAGGUUUCAACCAGAGAAGCUCCAUUUCUAUCUAUUUGUAUCUAUGAAGCUCCAUUUUUAUCUAUUAUACAU